GCUGCUCCGCGCGGUGAGAAGGAAGAGGUUCGCUCCUCGAUCUGGACGCGGACCCCACGGCCUGCCACACGGCGAGGGGCGACCCACACAUCCUCGAUGAAAACAGUCACAGCGGCUGCGCCCCCGUUAUUCUACUUUCUGGCACGUCUCUGUGGUCAGCAGAGCUGAGGGGACCCUCGGGGGCUGUGACUCAUCAGCCCGGCAUCCACCACCGUCCCCUCCUGGCCUGGCAGAAGCUUCCUGCCAAACUGAGGACACCUCGAUCCCAAAACGGGCUGAACCUCAGCCAUUUCUUUCCCCCACCUCGGCUGGGUCGUGUCCACUCAGAAGUGAUGCCCCUCCAGCCUCCACUGAGCUGUGAGGAUCCCGACUCUGCAUGUCAUCUCCUGGGAGCAUCCGACCUCUGGGACACCAGCCGGGUUGAGCUCUGCUUCCUCUGCCUGGCAGUGGGGUUUGAUGCACUGUGAAGAAUUUUCUGGUUACUUUGUGGAUUCAGUCAUCUGGCUCCAGACAAAACUGAGCAUCCAUCUGCAUCUGAUUUCAGUCAAUCGUGAACCUGUUGUCUUUUUUCUGAGUGGUUAGUGUUGGCUGAGGGUGGAUGGGGGGAUGGCUAUUAGGGGGUGUGUUUCAUGAGAGAGAUGCUGGGGGCAUAAAGAGAGAAAACAAGAUUUGGACUAUUCCUGCUCAGAAAAAUUCACAGCUAAUAAGAAAUUAGAAAGAGUCAUCAUGCUCUUCUCACAGCAUGCUUGAGGGGUCAGUGACUCAGGGAGCCAGUGAGUGGAUCUGCUGAAUAUGUCACCUGUGCCCCUGGGGACACGCAUUCAUUCACACAGCCCUUGAGAUGGGAAUUGUUUCAUCCUGAUUUUUUUCUUAUUUCAUCUUGAUUUUAAGAAGAUAUUUGGAGAAGCACAUACUGGUAUUUGCCCUGCAUCUUAGAGAUCACUACCGUGUCAUGAUGGAAAAAUCAUAACCUCUG